rnacentral:rRNA from 1 species
CAAUAGCGUAUAUUAAAGUUGUUGCAGUUAAAAAGCUCGUAGUUGGAUUUGUGGCGUACGGUGGGUUCCGGGCACUUGUUGUCUGAGUAACUUGCUGUUGCCAUCCUUGGGUGGAACCUGUGUGGCAUUAGGUUGUCGUGCAGGGGAUGCCCAUCAUUUACUGUGAAAAAAUUAGAGUGUUCAAAGCAGGCUUAUGCCGUUGAAUAUAUUAGCAUGGAAUAAUGAGAUAGGACUUUUUUGCUAUUUUGUUGGUUUGCGCAAAGAGGUAAUGAUUAAUAGGGACAGUUGGGGGUAUUCGUAUUCCAUUGUCAGAGGUGAAAUUCUUGGAUUUUUGGAAGACGAACUACUGCGAAAGCAUUUACCAAGGAUGUUUNCAUUA